UACGAAGGGGGCGAGCGUUAUUCGGAAUUAUUGGGCGUAAAGGGCGCGUAGGCGGCUUUUCAAGUGACGGGUGAAAUCCCUCGGCUUAACCGAGGAACUGCCUGUCAGACUGGAAGGCUUGAGACCGGGAGAGGUGAGUGGAAUUCCCAGUGUAGCGGUGAAAUGCGCAGAUAUCGGGAGGAACACCUAUGGCGAAGGCAGCUCGCUGGGACGUUACUGACGCUGAGACGCGAAAGCGUGGGGAGCAAACAGG
rnacentral:rRNA from 1 species